CUGUAACCUUUGUACAUCUUACCCAGAAGAAGGGCCCCUGGUCACGGAGGCUCAGAAGACGGAAUCUCUAGGCCAUAUUUGACCACCAAGAAUCUGGGAGAGCCUCAAUUCACUGUCCCAAGUUCCAUCUGCCCAUCUGUAACCUGAGCAAGGGCUUCGCCACGUCGUCUGGUGUCCCCGACAGUUAUUCAGAAUAGAUGAGAGUGUCUUAUCCACAAAUACGCUGAACACAAGUAUUGUUGAAGAAAGGAGUUUAGACACACACACACACACACACACACACACACAUUAUGCCAAUGCAUCGCCCUUCUCAGAUUCAGAAGCCACUGCUGGUGUUCUCCUUACUCCGAGUCUCGGGAGCACUGGCCUGUACAGCUGACAUCAAAAACAGAAUGGUUUCCUAUUAGAAACGACAAUCUAUGAGCUGUUGCAGGACAAGCCCUGGGGUGGGGAGGCUCUGUAUCUUCUAGAACCUGCUGGUGGGCUGCUGUUGCAGGUACCCAGCCCUGGACCUGAGCCACGGAACAGACACCGAGGAGGGCACAGACAGAGAGAACGAACCAACUGACCACGGAAGAUAAUGACCCCAGUGAAACCAAGUGCCUAAAGGGGACAGACGUCCAUGUGGGAGAGGAGGAGAGGAGAGAGGGAGAGAGAGCAACAGAGAGACGUGGAGGAGGAGGAAGAGGAGGAGCAGGAGGGAGGAGGAAACAAGAGAACAGGAGCACGUGGGAGCUUCGAGUCAACAGUCGAGACCCAAAUGAACGACAUGGAAGAUCAAGCUGAAGGACGCUAUGAAGCCUGGAGCAAAUAUUCGAGCCUCACUCUCAGUAAGACAAAGAGCCUGGAUAAAAUCCCUUUAAGGUGAGACUGCACAAAGCAUCGUGCUGGAUCUGCUGGGCAGCUCCCCAGAACUCCAGCCCCCGUGGCCAAUGCCAGGGGAAGAGUUUGGGGUCCGGUGCAUUCUGGACCCAGAUUCCCAUGGUAGCAUUUAGCCAUUCCAUUAUCCCCCCAACCCUGUUCCCUGGGCCAGUGUCAGCCCCAGGCGCUGUGCUGAGGAGGGCAGGUUGUGUAGAAAGGGGCAGGCUCCCCCUUGGAGAUCCCCACCCAGGGAUCCCCGGGCAACACUCCUCCAGGGACUUUUCUUCUCUAGGAACUCGCUUCUGUCAGCCUCUCUUGUCUGUCCACUGGCUCCUAAGCCUUCCAUCUGCAAGUUCAGUUUCUAAGUCAACAGGACCCCCAGACAGGCCUCCGGUCCCCUUGGGGGAACUGUCAGGAUCUGUGUGUGUGUGUGUUGCAAGCAAGCUCAUUGCAUGGACCUGGCACAGGCGGGAUCCAGCUCCCUUCCAGGGCCACGUGACCCUGGCAGCAUUACUCACUUGGGUGCCCUCCAGCAGGGGCAGCUGGGGACACCUCCCUAGAGUGACUACAGCGUUUAUCACGGGGAUGACUCAGCCCGCCCGAGCCUCUCUCUCCCUGAAAAGGGAAUCUGAGGCCAGGGCCGGGGUGAGAGUGUCCAUUAGACCAUCUAUAGCCUCGGGAGCCCGGAAACUCCCCUCACCUGGGAAGCACGCAGGACGGACGGACGGGAUGAGUAAAGCUCAGGCAUCACACCGAAGGAGACAGAUUCAUCUCUCAUUCCAAGAGCUCUCCUGGACUCCGAGUUCCCUCUGAAUCAUGCUCCGAGGUCAUUCUGACAGGAGUGACUCAUGUAGGCACACAUCAGGCGCAGAGACCCAGGCGGCAGGAAUUUAUCCUGUGCAGACUAGGCCCCUAGACAUAAGAAGCCACUAAAAUGUGAAACCAACUGCUCUGCUGCUUUUGAACAAAAGCCGCAGGAAGACGCAGCGUUACCCAGCCUGUG
rnacentral:lncRNA from 1 species